GACGGAGGGUGCUAGCGUUGUUCGGAAUUACUGGGCGUAAAGGGCGCGUAGGCGGCCGCUCAAGUCGGGUGUGAAAGCCCGGGGCUCAACCCCGGAACUGCACUCGAGACUGGGUGGCUGGAGAUCGGAAGAGGAGAGUGGAACACCCAGUGUAGAGGUGAAAUUCGUAGAUAUUGGGUAGAACACCGGUGGCGAAAGCGGCUCUCUGGUCCGAUUCUGACGCUGAGGCGCGAAAGCGUGGGGAGCAAACAGG
rnacentral:rRNA from 1 species